UCUUCUUCGUUUCCAACUUCUCCUCUUCGUUCAUUGUUUAUUGUUUAUCUCUGUAGAAUGUAAUGGAAAAAUUCUGAAAGAGGCGAUACUGAGAGAAAUGGUGAUUCGUAAUCAAAGAAUCUCCAUCAAUUUUUUCUUAUUACCCUAUUUAUUCUCUGCCACUCGAAAAAAAACCCUAGGUUUUAAAUUUUGGGUUUCUCGAAAACCAAGAUGAAGUGAGAGGCAUGAAUAUUGAUUCAAAACUCAACAAUGCCUCUGAUUUUUUGAAGAGAGAAUUCAAAGUACCACAGUUAUCAGAUUUGGGUGUUGAGAUAACCAGGUGAACCAAAGUAGAAAUGAAAGCUGUUUUUUUACUUUUUCAAGUUGUGGUGCUCUUAUAUGAAUUUUCGCUGCGUUAGUUGGUGAUUUGGAUUGUAGCAUCCCUCACCCUCCUUAGGCCUCCUAUUCGGAACAAUGUUUCACAUGGCGCACCAUAGCAGCACAAAUCGUCAUUUUGCCUCCGUUCAGUGAAUUUCUGAGUUUGGUUGUGGUGCCAUAUGUAGAGUGAAUGUAAAUGCUAAAGUAAGUAGGUAUACCCUGUCCAGUGAAUUUCUUAAUUUUGCCUCCGUUCCCAACUGUCUACUUUUUGGACUCCCACACUCAAAGAAUAAGGGCAAGUGGGUUAUCUAAGUUGAAAAGAGCAAAAUCUUCCAGAAGUUAAGAGAGAUACCAUUAUUUUUCAGCUACCUACUUUUCUUUGGUUCACAAUUGCUUACAGAGUGUUAUUUUGUAGAUUCAAAUGAAAUUUUGAUGUAUAUGAUGUGGUACCAAUAAAUAGUACUGAUCAAUUAUGUGAAUUGAUAGUUAGAAAUGUCGACCCUCUUA